AGCUCAGUUGGUAGAGCACCUGAUUUGUAAUCGGUCAGGUUUUGGCGGAAAUCCGCC
rnacentral:tRNA from 1 species